rnacentral:rRNA from 1 species
GCAAGUCGAGGGGUAACAUUAAGUUCUUGCACUUAGAUGACGACCGGCGCACGGGUGCGUAACGCGUAUACAAUCUACCUUAUACUUGGGAAUAUCCUUUGGAAACGAAGAUUAAUGCCCCAUAGUAUUAUUGAAUGGCAUCGUUUAAUAAUUAAAACUCCGGUGGUAUAAGAUGAGUAUGCGUUCUAUUAGUUAGUUGGUAAGGUAACGGCUUACCAAGACAUCGAUAGAUAGGGGUCCUGAGAGGGAGAUC